GCGUUGAAAGUUUUCUUGCGGGAAGAUUUGAGCCAUUGGUGAGAUACCACUCUAACAAUGCUAGGAUUCUAACCCUAUGUCGUUAUCCGGCUAGGGGACAGUUUCAGGUGGUCAGUUUGACUGGGGCGGUCGCCUCCUAAAAGGUAACGGAGGCGUGCAAAGGUUCCCUCAGGCUGGUUGGAAAUCAGUCGUAGAGUGUAAAGGCAUAAGGGAGCUUGAUUGUGAGACCUACAAGUCGAACAAAGACGAAAGUCGGCCUUAGUGAUCCGGCGGUACCGAGUGGAAGGGCCGUCGCUCAACGGAUAAAAGUUACUCUAGGGAUAACA
rnacentral:rRNA from 1 species